GGCCUUAGACAAGGGGAUCCGGCGUCCCCGUUGCUCUUUAAUUUCGUUGCGGAUGCUCUCUCUCAUAUCCUUUCUCGAGCAGCCAAUGCUGGGCACAUUACGCCUGUUAGUUCUCACCUUAUCCACAAUGGCAUCACUCACCUUCAAUACGCGGACGACACCAUUAUUAUGGUUGAGCUUAAUGAGGACAGCCUCACGAACCUGAAAUUUCUCCUCUUAUGCUUCAAAGCGCUUUCGGGUCUUAAAAUCAACUUUCCAAAGAGCAAAGUUAUUGUGACUGGGGUGCCUGAUUUAGAAGCUCAGAGAGUGGCUCAUCUUCUCAAUUGUUCUCUAGGGUCUUAUCCUUUCAAAUACCUGGGCCUACCAAUCUCCGCUCUCAAGCUCUUGGCUAAAGAUUUUGCCCCGACAGUGACUAAAGUA
rnacentral:rRNA from 1 species